UCUUAGCUCUGAUUGCAGCGGCAUCCUUUUUUUGAGUGACUGGCAAAACCAAAGGCACCAAAAAAAGAUAUAGCGGAAAGCAGGCAGACCA
rnacentral:sRNA from 1 species